rnacentral:rRNA from 1 species
GUGCCAGCCGCUGCGGUAAUACGGAGGGUGCAAGCGUUAAUCGGAAUUACUGGGCGUAAAGCGCACGCAGGCGGUCUGUCAAGUCGGAUGUGAAAUCCCCGGGCUCAACCUGGGAACUGCAUUCGAAACUGGCAGGCUAGAGUCUUGUAGAGGGGGGUAGAAUUCCAGGUGUAGCGGUGAAAUGCGUAGAGAUCUGGGGAAUACCGGUGGCGAAGGCGGCCCCCUGGACAAAGACUGACGCUCAGGUGCGAAAGCGUGGGGAGCAAACAGGAUUAGAUACCCUGGUGGUCCACGCUGUAAACGAUGUCGAUUUGGAGGUUGUGCCCUUGAGGCGUGGCUUCCGGAGCUAACGCGUUAAAUCGACCGCCUGGGGAGUACGGCCGCAAGGUUAAAACUCAAAUGAAUUGACGGGGGCCCGCACAAGCGGUGGAGCAUGUGGUUAAUUCGAUGCAACGCGAAGAACCUUACCUGGUACUUGACAUCCACAGAACUUAGC